rnacentral:lncRNA from 1 species
CCAGGACUUCUGUGAAAACCCUUUAUGCCACGAGGCACAAACCGUACUUUUUAUCUUACGGUUAUAUUUCCGCACAAUGAUUCAUUUGUAGCCCACUGACAUAUAUUUUGAUCUAUGAACUACAAGUUCAAAAACAUCAUUUUUCUAAGUGAAACAAAUAUACUUGAAUAGUGCAUUUUAUUUGGCCAAUCAUUUAUCUAUUGGACAUAUUCAAAUUUA